UACAUGCAUUCACAGUAACUUGUGAACAUCUAGUUUCAGUAUUGAUUGAAAGGGGAAGUUCAGGACAACAGCUGAGUGAAUUUCUCUCCAGAUGGUUUCUCAAUUUUUUCUCAGUCUCUCUCAAGGUGCAGUAUUCAGAUUUUUAAAACAGGAAGUAGGAUGAUAAGGAAGAAUGAAGGAUGACAAAUCAAGGCAUGUGAUAUGAACUAUGUCUCCUCUCAUGCAAUUUUCAGAAACUGAUCAUUCACUUGUUGAGAUAUCUCCUGCAAAAUUCUAAGCCACGUAGCUUCCAUGGCAGCUUCCAAUCAAUACAAUGUCCAUUGAAAUAAUGAUCAACAGCAUUGAUUAUACCAUAAUGAGCAAUAAUAUAACAAUCACAGAUCAAUUAUUAAAAAGCCAAGAAAAAGAGAACAAAGAGAAGACAACAAAAAGUGUGGGUGAUAUAAAAGGUUUUUACAUAGUACCUGAAACUAGGUAGGCCAAAUGCUGGCUGAAGAGCUAUGGGGAGGCAGUUCCAGAGAUGAGGCACCACCAUGGAAAAACAUGAAAGUGGGGAGCACACAGAACAAGGAGACAGCUGUCAGUCUUAACUCAGCAAGGUUUGUCUUAGUUCCCCAAAGUUAUGAUCAUAGGUGAUAUACAGUCAAGGGAAAUCACAGAGCACUUGCUUUUUACAAAGAAGGUAGCAUCAAUAGUACAAAGAAAAACUAGAAGGAAAGGGAUUUUGUGAUAUUGGUACAGAAGUAGACCUAUCUGUUUGGGGCUGUAAAAUGUGACCAUAUGGAUGACAGGGGUUACAAAACUUUGUAUACAAUGCCUUUCGGAGACAUAUGUGACUGUUGCAGAAAUUGUGCCAUUAACAUGUAAACAUAUAAAACAACUACCAGUCUGUGUGUAGAGCAAAUCAAAACAAAACCUAUGUAAUGCCAUUUUUGAAACAAACUAAAUUAACAAAGAAUUCAAUGAGCAAGCUUUCAAAGUUUGCCAGAACUCUUUAGCAUCUGGAUGUUAACAAAAACAAAAAGUGGAAGAAAACCGUGGGUGGUGGGAUUGCCUCUGGUGGUCUGUAGAGAAACUUAUGACAAGACUCAGAAGUAUACAACUUGUUUCAUGUUGUUUUGGGUAGUACUAAUACAAGUCAUUAUAAUGGCUGUCAGCUUUGGAUUUCUGCAUGAAUGAACACAGCUACCUGCAACUUCCAAAUAUUUAGAGAGAAUAUUAGCAAAAUGAAGAGCCAAGAACAACCCUUAAUUUUCCUUGACAUUUUAUUCUAUUAUGUAAUUCCAUUUUCUGCAUGGUUAAUGAUGAAUUAAGUCUGAUUCUUUUCUCCAUUUGCAUUGUUUUCGUAAUUAUGUAAUUUGAGCUCUAUUGCUCAGGGCGGUAUUGCUUAUUGAAUGUCUUAUUAUGUCAUCUGGUUACGUUAUUUCACAUGGUGUGAUCUUCUUGGAGUUUCUGCAGGAAAGGUGGGCCAUAAGUAAAUAAAUAAAACCACUCGACAGUA